CGCCGCCAGAUCUGAGAUCCACUGACCACUAAGCUCUCCUUGCCACCAUGGGCCUCCUCGACAAGCUCUGGGACGACACCCUCGCCGGCCCCCGCCCCGACUCCGGCCUCGGCCGCCUCCGCAAGUACUCCACCUUCUCCUUCCGCUCCCCCACCGCCGCCGUCAAAGAAGAAUCGAUGGAAACUGGGAACGGGACAUCGUUUGGUGAUGGUCCGUCGCCGGAGGAGCCACCGAAAGUGACACGUAGCAUCAUGAUAAAGCGGCCGUCGGGGUGCCCGUCGCCGGGGAACGGGACGCCGCCGGCGUCGCCCGCUGGAUCCACACCUCCAGUUUCCCCGUUCUCCGGUGGUGGUGCGAGGGAGUGGAACCGGUUCCGCCGGAAAUCGGCGUCCGAUACCUACGAACGAAGAGGAGAGGCGGUGGGGGUCGGAUCCUCCGCUCCUCAUCCUUCUCAUGAGGUGUGAGCUCUGCUGAGCUCCAGGCUGUUUUUUGUUUUCUAGAUCGUGUUUCUCAGAGAGUAAUAAAUGGCCGAAGAGGGAAGGUAGAUAGUGGUGGGUAAGGGUUUUCAGUAUUUGUGUGCGUAGUAUAAUGUUUGGGG
rnacentral:misc_RNA from 1 species